rnacentral:lncRNA from 1 species
GCUAGGCAUAUGCAAUGAUUUACAGCAUGGGUCUUCAUCUAAUGAAAAAAAUUCACAAGACUGAUGUCCUUCUUGGAGGGAAGCUGUAAAGUCAGAAUUAAUGGUCUGGUAAUAGCACAGGCUUCUGAUGGAAUCAGUGGGAACAAGAUCUGCUAUUCUCCUCCUCUACUACUGCAGUGCCACAGCACCCAUGGGAAUCCAUAA